rnacentral:rRNA from 1 species
ACGGAGGGUGCAAGCGUUAAUCGGAAUUACUGGGCGUAAAGCGCGCGUAGGCGGCUUUUUAAGUCGGAUGUGAAAGCCCUGGGCUCAACCUGGGAACUGCAUCCGAUACUGGAAGGCUAGAGUGCGAGAGAGGGAGGUAGAAUUCCAUGUGUAGCAGUGAAAUGCGUAGAUAUAUGGAGGAAUACCAGUGGCGAAGGCGGCCUCCUGGCUCGACACUGACGCUGAGGUGCGAAAGCGUGGGGAGCAAACAGG